GAUGAACGCUAGCGGCAGGCUUAACACAUGCAAGUCGAGGGGCAGCGGGGUGUAGCAAUACACUGCCGGCGACCGGCGCACGGGUGCGUAACGCGUAUGCAACCUGCCCGUAACAGGGGGAUAACGGAGAGAAAUUUCCACUAAUACCCCAUAUAGCCGUUUGGCCGCAUGGUCAGGCGGCGAAAGCCUUGGUGGUUACGGAUGGGCAUGCGUGGCAUUAGGUAGUUGGCGGGGCAACGGCCCACCAAGCCGACGAUGUCUAGGGGAGCUGAGAGGCUUAUCCCCCACACUGGUACUGAGACACGGACCAGACUCC
rnacentral:rRNA from 1 species